GCGAUUUCGAAGCUUCAGAAUGAUUUCGAAGCUCCAUCGCCCCACCAUCUGCUCUCUCUCUCUCUCUCGAUUUAGAUCUACUAAGCUCUAUUUUUCCAAAUUUCGAGAGACUCAGAGAUUCAGUGAUUUCAGAGCGAUUUCGAUUUCGAAGCUCCAUCGCCACCACCAUUUGCACCUGCGAUUUUCAUUUCACUAAGGUGAGCUCCACCAUCUCUCUCUCUCUCUAUAUAUAUAUACCUACACUUUCUCUCUCUAAAACUCUCUCUUCUCGUCUUCCAAAAGCUCAGAUCUGAACUCUGACCCCUCGAUUACUCGCAUUUCAAGCCCCAAUGGCCGCGAAUAGUCUACUUUGGUUUUGAACUUUAAUCGAAGAGGGCAUUGCAAGCGGAAAGAGGAAAUGAUGCGAGGAAGGACUAAACUGAGGUUUGGGACAGACGUUGCUUUAAAGCAGAGGGAAAGCCAACAGGGGGUCCUGGUGGGACACGUAGAAGGGAUUACAUUUCUUGACAGCCGUGGAGAUGGUCGUUAUUUCAUUUCAAACGGUAAAGAUCAGACCAUCAAACUUUGGGAUAUCCGGAAAAUGUCUGCCAAUGCUACUGGGUAUACUCACUUCCAGGCCUAUUUGUAAUUACUUGUUUAUUUUAAAUGAUAAUAAUCGUGAAAAGUAUGAGUUAUUAAUCAAACUUUCUGAGUCAA